UUUCCGUAGGUGAACCUGCGGAAGGAUCAUUAUUGUAUAACCGAGGUGCGAGGGCUGUCCCUGACCCGAAAGGUCGUGCACGCCCGAGUGCCCUCACACACAUCCAUCUCACCCCUAUGUGCACCACCGCGUGGGUCCCCCUUUGGCUUGUUCGGAGGGGGGCUUACGUUUUCACACAAACUUUGUAUGCAGUGUAGAAUGUAUUUUUUGUUUUUGCGAUCACGCAAUCAAUACAACUUUCAACAACGGAUCUCUUGGCUCUC
rnacentral:misc_RNA from 1 species